AAAAAAUCCCCUCGUCCGAUCCCCAACCUCCCCCCGAUCCUGUCGCCGCUGCUGCCUACCCCGCCUCCUACCGGUGCGCUACCACUCCCGCCUCCUUCCGGCGCGCCGUCAUCCCCGCCUCCUACCGGCGCGCCGCCGGACCCUCCUUCUUCCCUGGAGCGCCGCCACCCCGCUGCCCUCGCCAUCUUCCCGAGCGCGCCGCUGCCGCCGUCUUCCCCAGAGCGCCACCGCCCCGCCACCCCCGCCCACGGGACCAGUGGUCCCAUCGCCGGUCUCCCCCCACCCAGAUUUGCUGGAGGCGCACCGGAUCCUGCCUCACGGCCGGUUCCCGCGACUCGGCCGCCGCCCCAACCGCUGCAGCAGCCGAACACCUCCACUAGGUGCCCCGGCGGUUCGGACACCCACCUGGCCCCUCCCUCGAACCCAGCGAGCCUCCGCCCCGACCUACUUCCCGCGCGAGGUCGCCUCCGCCUCCUCCUGGCGCACCGCCGCCCCCACCAUCUCCACCUCCGCCUCCGCCGAUGCCUCCUUCUCCACCUCCGUUCGCAAGCGAUGGCGGCCGCGGUCUUCACCCCCAUCCACCAUGGCUGCAGAUCCACCCACGGCCGGUCGUCUAAGCUUCAAGCAUGGAUGGAUGGAUUCAGGAAGGUAUCCUUCCUCCCUGGGUGGAGCGAGCUGCAGAUCCCGUCCGGCCCUCCGGAACCGGCCAUCUCCGCCUCCUCCUCGCCGCCGCCGCUGGGGAUCAUGUCUUCACCAAACGCGAGCUCUGCCCCAUCCGACCGACCGCAAAGGGAGAUAGGACAUGGCGGAAACAAAACUGCACGGCGAUGUGCAUUUCUGCAACACAUCAGGUCUACAUUUUCCAUUGCCCUGGACUUAUGAACGGAAGAAAAAGCAAUAUGAAGUUCUUGUCUGCAUCAAACUGCUUUCACUUAUAUUCUGCCGAAUUUCCUCCUUCUAUGGGACUGUACAUGGGAAUUAUCUACAAGGGUUAUGUCCUUUGCAGGUAGAUUAUCUUAUAGGACGGGCGAAAUGCAACAGAAGAAGCUCCUCCGCUGCUACUCGCCAAACUCCAAGCAAAAAGGACCUUCCACUUUCCUUGCUAAUGGGGCCUCAGUUUGUUCGGAAUCAGAUACAACCAUUUGAUCCAUUAUUGUUCGUGGGCAUCAUAUUUAAAAAAAAUAUUUUUUGGAUUUUGUAAAGUUUGCGGUUAAUAAGCCGGUGAGAGCUGAUGGUUCAGUUAGAUCCUGCAUUUACUUGACCUCUUUCUCUGUCAGGUAAAUUACCAUGGUACUUAUCUAAUGCGAUUUGUAAAGUUUUACCAAUCUGGAGAAUAUUCAAUACCAAGAUUUAUGAUUUGGCAUAAGUGAGAUGACAUACAAGUGAGUUUAAUUCGUGAGAGUGAAAUAGCAACAGUUUAAUUAUCAUACCGCCGGCAGCUGCACCUCAACUGCGGAAAAAGAAAUCUUGAAGAACCAAGACCACCACCAGCUGGAAGAAGAUUUCAUCUAGGAAAUUUAGUCCUAGGGACUUUGAUAUACAAUGAUACACCAAAGCAAGCAAAGAAGCCAAAAGAAGUUAAAUGUUUUUACCUGCUGCUGGCAUCCGAUGAGCAGUUGCAGGUGUCAACCAUAGUAUUGUUAUAUGAAGUGAGAGUUGCAUGUGCUUAUCUGAAGCUUAUACUAAUAAUUUGCCUCCCUAAUUGUGGCUGAUCUGGAGCUCAUACCCAUGUUGGGUGAGUAUCUCCCUCUCUGUUUGUUGGGCUGUCGGCAGCUCCUUUUUGCUGCGUCUCUGUAUACUAUAACCACUAUCCCUAAAAUAAGUAAACUAUAACCACACUCUUUGAUCAUAUUAUUUAGAAGAAAAAAGAUUAGAGCUGCAUUUAUUCAUAUUAAUGUAGACUGGGCCUGAUCCAAGAAAUAGAAGACUUAUACAUUGAUUGCAUCCACCGAUAAAAUCCCAAAUGUGUGUGGGCAAGACUAUCUUCGUGUUUUCAUAAUAUAAAAAAUAGUAGGUAAGUGUCAAUCUGUUGCUGGUUCAGAAUUUGAUAAGGUUGAAAACUUUGUAUGAAAAUCUUUGUAAUUCUUUUGAGUUGUGGAAGAGACAGCUGGGAUGACUUUGAUAAUAUGCAUUGGAUGGCGGAGGACGAAAAAUAAAUAAGGUGGGGCGGCUCUGAAGCAUAAAAAAAUUCCAAUGAAAAACGAAAGUAGUUCAUGCACACUAAAAUGCACACAAAUACUUUUUAAAAUCAUGCUAUUGUCCGGUCAUUUUCUCAAAAUGACACUAAAAUUUGAAUAAUAAUUACUUCUCUCCUUUUGUCUUCCAUUUUCCCGUCCAGUACAUUUUCCUCUUUUUAGUUCAUCGGAAAAAUUGACACACAGCGGCCGCUAAAUUUUUUGAGAAGACGAACCAUGGAGAUUGGAGAUGAAGAGCUGGUCGCCGCCCCUGUGUACCUAUUCUGAUUGGAGUUCUUAUUACAGUUACAUGAUCAUGUGACAGCAUGGCAUCGGACAACACGGCCUUCACCUUAAUGCACCCCAAAGGUGGUCAUCGCCGAAGCACGCCAAGGGUGAGCCACAACCAUACCGUUGACCCACCGGCGUGGUGAGGACAAAUUGCAUAGUAUCAUGUUUUUUCAGUUAAAACCUGAGAACAGAAAGACGUAUCUAACACAGUAUGUAAAAUUUGUAAGCUCAUAUGAAAAUAGCUGAGAUCAAAUUAGGUAAGCACGUUCUUGCAAGCGAUGUAUUUUCUCACUUACGAGAAUUACCAGUUGCAUAUAUAAUAUACUGUAGUAGCCUAUA